rnacentral:rRNA from 1 species
GCGUGAGUGAAGAAGGCCUUAGGGUUGUAAAGCUCUUUCGGUGGGGACGAUGAUGACGGUACCCACAGAAGAAGCCCCGGCUAACUCCGUGCCAGCAGCCGCGGUAAUACGGAGGGGGCGAGCGUUGUUCGGAAUUACUGGCGUAAAGCGCACGUAGGCGGCGUGUCGAGUUAGGGGUGAAAGGCCUGGGCUCAACCUGGGAACUGCCUUUAAUACUGACAUGCUUGAGUCCGGGAGGGGGUGGCGGAAUUCCCAGUGUAGAGGUGAAAUUCGU